CCUACGUGAGGCAGCAGUGAGGAAUAUUGGUCAAUGGACGGAAGUCUGAACCAGCCAUGCCGCGUGCAGGAAGACGGCUCUAUGUGUUGUAAACUGCUUUUGUACAAGAGUAAACCUGAAUACGUGUAUUCAUCUGCAAGUACUGUACGAAUAAGGAUCGGCUAACUCCGUGCCAGCAGCCGCGGUAAUACGGAGGAUCCAAGCGUUAUCCGGAUUUAUUGGGUUUAAAGGGUGCGUAGGCGGAUUGAUAAGUUAGAUGUGAAAUGUCCGAGCUUAACUGCGGAACUGCCUUUAAUACUGUUGAUCUAGAGUGUAGAUGCGGUAGGCGGAAUGUAUGGUGUAGCGGUGAAAUGCUUAGAGAUCAUACAGAACACCGAUGGCGAAGGCAGCUUACCAAUCUAUAUCUGACGUUGAGGCACGAAAGCGUGGGGAGCAAACAGGAUUAGAUACCCCAGUAGUC
rnacentral:rRNA from 1 species